rnacentral:misc_RNA from 1 species
UCAUACAACUGAGGUGCAACAGCUGUCGCUGAUCUUUAGAGGUCGUGCACGCCUGAGCACUCUCACACAAUCCAUUUCAUCACCUUUUGUGCAUCCACCGCGUGGGCCCCCCUUUUGCAAAGGAGGGUUUGCGUUUUCACAUAAAACUUGUUACAGUGUAGAAUGUUUUUCUUUUUUUGCGGUUACACGCAAUCAAUA